UUCUGGUCAUUAGAUUGUCAAUUUUGGUAAGCUCUUAAUCUGGUUUUGUGUGUGUCUUACUGGUUACAAAUGUACAAGUACAGCAGUGAUACCCCUUCAAUCAUACUACCAGAUUCUCUUAGGGGGUCUCCAAGGGGCAGUAAAAUGGCCCACAAAUCUCUCUAAGGUAAAUAAAAUGGCACUAAAUUUGGCCUUUUGUUGCUCAAAUCUGCCCCAAGUGUUAAAAGAAAGUUAUAGAAGACAGAAAGAUUUAAAAAAAAAAAAAAAAAAAAGCUGAGAGAUUGCUCAGAGGGUUUUUAAAAAGUUGGCAAAUGUUUUGACAUUAGACUUUGAAAAAAAAAAAAAAGUUGGGGCAGUGCCCAGAGGAAAAAAAAAGUCAAAAAGAUGGGUCUAGGGGUAGAAAAAGACCAGUGAUGCUACUGAAAAAAAAAAGGACACUAGAAAAAAGGCUGUUUUACCAACAAGCCAUUUAGACUGCUUGUGGAUAAACUUAAAGGCAUAAGCCAGGGAGUGCUGACCCAAAAACUUUGGCCAUGGCACAGACCCGUUGCCUAUUUGUCAAAUAUUGGGCCCAGUGGCUGCUGGAUGGACAAAAAUGCCUGAGGACAAUAGCACCUGUGGCAUAGCUGGUAAGGAAAGCAGACAAGCCAUCACUGGGGCAAGUCCAAUGCCCACCUAACCUGCUACCAAGUUCUGUUCCUAGACCAGCCAUGAGCGAAAUUCAGUGCUGCCACCAGCCUGAACCCUGCCACCCUGAUGUUGGAGACGGAUCCUGAGGCUCCCCGCAAAAGCAUGACUACCAAGAGGUAUGCCUUUGCUACAUGGUGUGUGCAUGGAGCAUGUGGGGAGGGAAGAUUCCUGACUCCCGCCGGGAAGAUGAUCCAGCACAAAAAAACCUACUGGAGGCCACAUGGACCCUGCAAGAAGCAGCCGUGACCCAUUGUUCCGGACAUCAGAAAAGAAACUGGAGGGCAGAUGAAGCAGCUUGUGCAGCUAUACAGCAAGCAGGGCCAGCCUUGGCAUUGAUUCCACUAGACUCCCUGCUUCCAAAGGACCCUAGAUACAGUAAAGAGAAAGAUAAGAUGGGCGAGAGAUUAAGACUAGAGACUAAAUAGAUUUUACAGAAGUAAAAUCAGAGACUUUUGGGUAUAAGUACUUGCUGAUAUUUAUAGACACAUUUUCAGGUUGGGUAGAGGUUUACCCAAUAAAGUCCAAGGGGGCAUAGAUGGUGAGCAAGAAAAUUUUAGAUAAAACAGUGCCCAGGUGGAGAGUUCCCUUUCACCAUUGGUUCUGUUAGUGGCCCGAGAAAUGGGAACAAAUUGGAAAUUUCAUUGUGCUAAUGAGCCCCAUAUUUCUGGGCAGGUAGAGAGGUAAAUUAGA